rnacentral:rRNA from 1 species
UACGAAGGGGGCUAGCGUUGCUCGGAAUUACUGGGCGUAAAGCGUGCGCAGGCGGUUGUGCAAGACCGAUGUGAAAUCCCCGGGCUUAACCUGGGAAUGGCAUUGGUGACUGCACGGCUAGAGUAUGGUAGAGGGUGGUGGAAUUUCCUGUGUAGCGGUGAAAUGCGUAGAUAUAAGGAAGGAACACCAGUGGCGAAGGCGACCACCUGGACUGAUACUGACACUGAGGUGCGAAAGCGUGGGGGAGCAAACAGG